rnacentral:misc_RNA from 1 species
UGGGUGGGAAGGGUUGAGCUGCGAAGCAGUACGUGAUGGCGUGUGAGUGGUAUUUGGUUUGUGUGGUUGGCGGGCUCCGUGCUUGUGCAUUGAACCGUUCACUAGCAGACCUCUUCAUUGUUAGCUCCGAGUGCAUGGUGUGCCUCGGGCGAGGAGUGGUCCCUGUGUUGAAUUCCUAAUGACGGUAUUGAUGUUGUCCUUUGAAAGUCUUAUUUCCGCUUUACAUCCCUUAACGUGAUGUCCAGCGGGACACUGAGGCUGUGGGAUCCUUAUCCGCUCAUCAAGCAAAAACAAGCGCGAUGCGACAGGAUGAUGGUCUCAAGUCGGGCCCUAGGAUSCAGAAUGU